UGCCCGGUGGUGCAAUUGGUAGCACAUCAGAUUCUGGAUCUGAGUGUUCAAGGUUCGAGUCCUUGCCGGGCAGCCA
rnacentral:tRNA from 1 species